rnacentral:lncRNA from 1 species
CUACCCACUGAAAUGGAGUAGGUCGGUGAGCGCCGAUCUGCUGGAGAAUCUCAUUAUCCCAUCGGCGCUCUGCCUGCUCCUGGCCUCCAAGCCUCUGAAGCCCCUCGGGUUUCAGCUGCCGGCUACCCUCGAGCCCGUGGUGCCCACGAGAGAGGCGACUUUACGUCAGCGGCCCUGGGCUGAGAUUUGAGAACGCGACCAAGUGGAGAAUGUUGGAGCCAGAUUUUAAAAUCCUUGUCUUCCUUCUGCGUGCUACUUGAUCUAAAUGAGAUACGGCAAAGUCACAGAACCUGUUUUUAUGUUUUUGCCUGAUUCAUACGGGCUUCUCCGGUGAAGAUGGGCCUGAAGUAACGCUUGGGUUGCUUCUGACGUUAUAACUCAUCCUGUAGCUGCAGCAACCGUGGUCCUUGCAACCUCAUAAAAAUGUUGCCAGCAUUGUUUCGAUAGUGCUGCUUAAUUCUUGGAAGGCCUCUUUGCUUUCUUCCCUGAGGUUCUUCGGACUUCACACAUUCCAGCAGUAGCUCUCUCAGCUCCUGUCCUGCACAGCUUUGAAGUGCUGGUGAUGUCAUUGAACUCUUAAGUGCAAGAUGAAACAAGUCUUUCUGGGGUUCUAAGUAGCGUCUUCAAAGUGUCUUCUGUAAAGACUUCUUCAGACUGUCAAUAGGAAGACUGAUAAACUCAGAGACUGCAUCUCACCAUGUUGCUCAGGCUGUUCUCGAACUCCUGGGCUCAAGCAAUCCUCCUACCUCAGCCUCUCAAAGUGUUGGGAUUAUAGAUGUGAGCCACUGUACCCGGCCCUGGUUGCAUUCUUCAUUAUUAGGAACAUAAGAGUCUAGCCCUGUCGCCCAGGCUGGAGUGCCAUGGUUUGAACUCUACUCACCGCAACCUCCACCUCCCAGGUUCAAAUGAUUCUCCUGCCUCAGCCUCCUGAAUAUCUGGGAUUACAGGCUGGAGUGCGAUGGCGCGAUCUCUACUCACUGCAACCUCCAUCUCCUGGGUUCAAGCAAUUCUCCCUCAGCCUCCCGAGUAGCUAGGACUACAGAGCCUCCCUCUGGAGCGAAGUGGCAUAAUCUCGGCUCACUGCAACCUCUGCCUCCCAGGUUCAAGCGAUUCUCAUGUCUCGGCCUCUUGAGUAACUGGGAUUACAGGCUGGAGUGCAAUGGCGCGAUCUCGGCUCACUGCAACCUCCGCCUCCCGAGUUCAAGUGA